rfam:Schistosoma mattheei strain Denwood, Zambia genome assembly, scaffold: SMTD_contig0009489
GUCCAGCUAACGAGUCCCAAAUAGGACGAAACAUGUCUUGGAU